GGUAAAGUCCAUAUGCAUUUUGUUCGGUGAGUGGCAAGAGGGCGAGGGACGAGCAGCUCCACUAUGCUCUCGGUGGGGGAGGAGAAUGCCAUCUCUAUGGGAAAUAAUUGUGAAAAAAACAACGGGGCAACCCGCCCGAGAGAACCUGAAUGGAUGGGGCCAGUAAGACGUCACGGCGAGCCGCAGCCAUGAAGCGAAGGAUCAAGAGCGAGACAUCAUUUGGAGGCUCAGUCGCGUCGCGCAGAUUGACUAAUUCUCUUGAUCGUUGUGGAGCGCGCGGGUGUCUGUGAUUCCAUGAAAAAGUGAGUAUUGUGUGAUUUGUAAAUGUGCCAGUUGAUGCCUGAUAUGUGCGAAAGUGUGAACACGGUCACCUGUCGUUCCAGAUUUGGUUGAAAAAGUACACAAAGAAUGGAAUGCGUUCUGACCACAAUUAAUGUUGGGUUUGUCACAAAACGUGGCUGUGCACGAUAUACUGUGCUGUAUAAGCUUACAGGGGUGACUAUGGAAAGCGUUUGAAAUGUUGUUUGAUGGAAGAGGUUGUUGUUGUCCUCUCGCCAGGAACAACUGUUAUAUCAAUGUAUCAGUUAUGUGCAGUGUUAUAUUGUACAUAGCAGGUGUACGGCACUAUACUGAGGCGAACUGAAGACUGUGUAGCUUCAGAUUUGAUGUAUUGUUGUCUGAGUUCCUCAAUUGUCAAUUGUUUUGGAAGGUCACCGUCGUCAUUUUUCAAAAGUCAGUUAAUCUUCUUUACUUUAUUUAGUAAACAUUUGAUUUGGAAUAAUACUGAAGUUUGCGCUCAGAGAGGUCAGAAAUACCGCUAAUGAAGAGGGAACGGUUGUCCGCCCCUAUAUGUUGCCUUGUCAUCGGCCACUUGGCCAACAUGACGGUGUAGCCGAAGUCAAGCGGUCUUCCCUUUCUAUGCCAUAGGUGGUGUGGCGAACAGAAAAAUCAGCAUGGUUUCUUUAUUAGUGUGUAUUAAUGCUAUAGGACAGAAUUCCGGUAUUAUGGUGUGAAAACAGCUGGUCUCAUUACUGAGUUCCAUCUAGAUUCCCAGUAUAAAGGACGUCUCAUGUACAUAGUCUGGCUUUGUGCCCGAACAUUCUAUUUGCCUUCAUUUUAGAAAAAUACUUGUAAACAGGUAUUUUUGUCCCUGGUAAGUCUAAAAUUACAGGAGUAUUAUCUUGGAGCGGGUGGAUUUCCACAAUGGGCACAGUAGGCAUCAGACAAUUGUAAUCCCGAAGGCUGAGCGUAUUCAGGUAAUCACAAGGCCGAAUAACUAAUCUGCACGUGGCAGAAGAGAGAGGGAACCAUGGACACAUGUGUUUUCACGAAACAGCUGCACAUCCCCGUAUCCAGCAAUCUCGAACACGCCAUCACUCUCUUUUUUGAUAUAAUUAUAUAUUUGAAGAUCAUUGUUUGCUUGUGGGGUGAAGACCGCCAUUUGAACAUACAGAGACCAAAUUGAACCGUUUCUUUGAUAAAAACAUGUCAGGAAUACAUAAACUCAAUAUUAUGUCUCCAUGCUUCUUAGAAAUAGAAGUAUUUGACUGUGUUUAAAAAAUCUUCAAGCUCUCCAAAGAAAGGGGCGCUUUUUGACUCUCUCUCUCUCUCUCUCUCUUUCACACUCACACACACACACACACGCACACACUCACACACGCACACACACCUAAAGAGAGAGAGAGGAUGAUGAUAGUGAAGAUUUAGCGUUGGCCCACUGUAAGAAGGGAAUAACAAUAAACUUAUACGCAGCAUCUGGCCUUAAGGUGCCAUAAACUCAGAAGCUCAUCAUCAAAGAUAUUGUAUGGUCCCAAAGUUGCUUGAGCUACUAUUAACUGUAGUGCUACGGCAUGCUUGAGGGUCUAUAUUGUAGGCUGAAGCAUUAUUUAAAAAUGUACUUGGAUUUUCAACAAACAAAAGACUAACAAGUCCCGUGCUACAGUAAAAUGGAUUUAUGCCAUCCAACCCAAAUUUUGAAUGUCUUCAUGUAUUAUGUUUUCUUCAAAUGCGCUGAAUGAGGGCUAUCAGAUCAUUCACAACGAGCGAACAUACAUCUAAAGCGGAGUACAUGAGCGUUAUUUCACCGACCUGUAGCCUAUUUAACAGUUGGACAUGACAUCACGGUUACUGUCCAAUGAGCCUGGAAGCAGGCAGCAUGCCUCAUUCGAAUCUUACUUCACCUUUAUGGCCUUAUGGGUGAUGUCACCUGACACCGUCUCACGAACGUCCACUCGAAAGAUAUAUUCGCAGCCCGGAGCUCAUAAUAGCAAGAUAAGUUCAUUGAUGAGUUUGUUACUGAACGACUCCCUUUAACUUUGUCUUUCAAUCUAUUUAUCACAGGGUGAUCUUGAACAACGCCGGAGGAAUCAGACGUCAUUUAGGCAAAAGUCUGGCAUCUCUGGUUCCCCACGGCGAUGUGGUUACGGGUAGCCUCGGGGUUGGCUGUUAUCUUUGGUUAUCUAGCUGUAUGAGUGAUGUACAUUCUUCAUAAAGCUAGAUAACCGAAAGUAACAAGAAUCCCAUUACGCUCCUGAAAGGCCUGCCCCCUUACUGUCACACGUGGAGUCACCAAGAAACACCAGAUACCUUACAGCUUCAAAAAAGGGCACCACCACCAUCAGUCCUUCAGAGAUGCCAGUGGGAGAGUGAGAGAGCGUGGUUCUUGGGAGGAGGGGCUGCCCCCCCCCCCCACCCCCACACCUCCCUCCAUCACCCCUCUUAUAUGUAGCCUCUCCCUCAGCCCCUCCCUCCGCCUCUGCCUGCCUGCCUGCCCUCUCCUGCGUAUCACAAGAUGCAGCCUGCGCCACCAUCUUAUGAGGAUGCUUGGCAUAAAAUGGAAGUGGGGGGAAAACACGAAAGGAGGUAAAACACUUCAGCUCCUGCACAGCAGAGGAACAGACAGAAAAUGAAGACAGAGAGACUCUCGCCGGCAGACACAAAUAUGGCCACCCACCCGCUCACUCAAUGGAACGCGCGUUGUCAGCAGUUUAUUUUUUGCCCCAACACCUGAUUCUUAAAGCACUUUACACGUCUUCUAUUUACAUUUCAUUUGCCCUUCGGUGGCAGGUGGCCAUUUUGCUCUGGACGAGAACACACCACAUAACACUGUGAUUGACUCGUGACAUAUAGAACCACUCAGAGGCCUGAACACCUCUCCGAGCUCCUCUCUGUCUGUGACUCUCAGUCUGUGACUCUCCGAGCUCCUCUCUGUCUGUGACUCUCGGUCUGUGACUCUCCGAGCUCCUCUCUGUAUGGGAUUCCUGUGAGGCAGCGGUGUUGCCAACUGCAGGGACAUGACCAGAACAGCUCCUGAUCAGACGGGACACACACUCCUGAUCAGACGGGACACACACUCCUGAGCAGACUGGACACACACUCCUGAGCAGACAGGACACACACCUGAACCGUCCCUGUCUCUCUCACCGCCACACUCUGCAGAUCAACAACACACAGCUCAGGCUCAGCUGUUUGCAAUCAAUCUGAGAGAUUUGUGCAAUGCAUUGCAUUAAUUGCACAUGUAUAUUCUGAAAUGAUUGGAUUUAAAAAAAAAAUGUAUAUGGAAAAUGUUUGCAAUGUGCACUAGAUGUAUGUAUGGGUUAUUUGAUGUUUGCUAACCUACAUUAAUGGGAAUGUUUGUGUAAUAAAUUCAAAUAGAGCACUUUUAACCAUGUUCACCAGAUGGAACUCUAGUGGUGUACCUCGUGUAGACAGCUCUUAUAGGGGACUGUUAUAUACGGAUAGUUAUUUUUUAUUUUUCUGUAAUGUAGAAAUUAUUGAGCGCUUCGCAUGUGUGCGAAUGUGUGUGAGACCCACGGCAGCAGUGAAGCCAACUGCACUGUGAUUGGACAGCUCCAUGUGUGGACACACACACACACACACACUGGUGAAGGAGAGAGCUGUUGUCUUUAUUUUCUAUGCAAUCAACUGAAACACUUCACUUUGCACUAACAAAUAUUGAAAUUUGGAUUGUUUGUCCUCUUAUGUAUGCUUUCAGGGAAAUGGAGCGCAUGUGCAAUGUGUGUGUGUGUGUGUGUGUGUGUGUGUAUGUGUGUGUGUGUGUGUGUGUGUGUGUGUGUGUGUGUGUGUGAUAAAUGAAGAGAUUUUUAAUACAAUGUAAUUGUAUAAUGUAUGCAUGAGCCAGCAUAAAAUGUUGGCAACUCUCGGAUAGUGGCAACAUUUUUUUAUUUAAUCAUGAUUUGAUCUAUGCAAAAAUAUAUUCUAUCCAUUCGUGUAAUUUGUUUGAAUGUUUUAACAGGACUAUCAAGACAAUUAAGGACUUUGUGUAUUGUCCUUUUCAAUCAAAUAUUUAGGCAAUCAAAAUGAACAAUCUUUUGACAACUAAUUUUGUCAAUUAAAUCCCCUUUUUAUGUAUAUGCAAGAGACAUUGUGCAGUCUCAGUUGGUUGCAGUCCUUCUGAAUUUUCUAGAAAAAUGAUCUAUGCAAUAAUGAAAUGUUAUUUGUGAAAUGUUUCAGUGAAUUUGCACUAACUGGCUCUGUAUUUACCAUUAUGUGCCUUUGAUAAACAAUGUCCUGUAAUGGAUUGAAAAUAAAAGUUUACAUUGAAAACAAA